CUCAGCCUUGCUUCACAUUUAAGGGGAUAUUAGAGACUGGAGCACACAUUUCUUAGCUGCCUUAAAAUGCUGCUGAAAACUAAGGUGAUUGAUGUGAACAAGGAAUGCUGAGGCUCCUCAAGUGAAGAGCUGCUGUGGGAAGUAGGCUGUGAAAGGGAGUAGCCAUCCUUUUACUCUGCUAAUUAACGUACAUGAUUCUACAGAAUACAUCCAUGGAAUUCCACUUGUUCAAAUCAAGAGGAAAAAAAGCUCUUUGAAAUCAAGAUUGGCC
rnacentral:lncRNA from 12 species